rnacentral:rRNA from 1 species
AACGAACGCUGGCGGCAUGCCUAACACAUGCAAGUCGAACGAGACCUUCGGGUCUAUUGGCGCACGGGUGCGUAACGCGUGGGAACCUGCCCUUAGGUUCGGAAUAACUCCCCGAAAGGGGUGCUAAUACCGGAUAAUGUCUUCGGCCCAAAGAUUUAUCGCCUUUGGAUGGGCCCGCGUUGGAUUAGCUAGUUGGUAGGGUAAAAGCCUACCAAGGCGACGCUCCAUAGCUGGUCUGAGAGGAUGAUCAGCCACACUGGGACUGAGACCCGGCCCAGACUCCUACGGGAGGCAGCAGUGGGGAAUAUGGGACAAUGGGCGAAAGCCUGAUCCAGCAAUGCCGCGUGAGUGAUGAAGGCCUUAGGGUUGUAAAGCUCUUUUACCCGGGAUGAUAAUGACAGUACCGGGAGAAUAAGCGCCGGCUAACUCCGUG